UAAGAUUUUAAAAAACAUCUAUAAAAAGGUCUUAAAGCAGUCAAUUCAAUCAUUCGUUCUAAAACUUACUGAAAGUAUAAGAAAAGUGUCUUCUUUCCUGUUCUGCAAAAGAUUGCCGCAAUGAAAUUCCUUUUACUGUUCACCGUUGUCAUUAUCCUACUGUUUGAUAAUGUUUGCCGCUCGAGUGGUGAACAGCCAGUGGAAAAUUUUUCUCCUGCACGAGUAAGAGUACGCCGUUCUGAAGAGUGGGCGGAAUGCAUGGCUAUUUGUACACCAGGUUGCCUAAUACCAAAUUGCAAUGAUUGGUGCCUCGGCGUCUGCUGUAGAGACUUUACUGCACCUGCAUGUGCUACAAUCGGUCAAACAAAGUAGGGGUCCGUAUGUUCUUGCGGAUUUGCGCUACCUUCAGGGUUUAUAUACUUUGGUUAAAUGUAUGUGAUGGUUGAAAUAAAAUAAAUUUUGAUGAGA